rnacentral:rRNA from 1 species
UACGUAGGGUGCGAGCGUUAAUCGGAAUUACUGGGCGUAAAGCGUGCGCAGGCGGUUUUGUAAGUCAGAUGUGAAAUCCCCGGGCUUAACCUGGGAACUGCGUUUGAAACUACAAGGCUAGAGUGUGGCAGAGGGGGGUGGAAUUCCACGUGUAGCAGUGAAAUGCGUAGAGAUGUGGAGGAACACCGAUGGCGAAGGCAGCCCCCUGGGGCAUUCUUGACGCUGAGGCGCGAAAGCUGGGGGAGCGAACGGG